AGUCGACGCACAUCAUCCCCACCUGCUCACAGUGAGUUACUGAUACUUCAAUGAGGCAGCACCCGGCACGUUGUAGAGAAUGGAGAUGAGCCCAAAUGAAGGAGACGAAGCAGUAAGUCACUAGUACAGCUCUGGGACAGGACAUGCCCUGGCCCUUUGUACCCCUCACUGUCGGUGCCCAUGGGUAAACUUGUCCAUAAACUGUGUGACCAUCAAUGGCAGAGGUGAGAUGGAAAUACUGCAAUUUGAUAUCAUGACCAGCAUAAUGAAGGGCAGCCAGCAAGUCACCCAGGAUUUCCACCAGAUCAGUAAAUAUCGGCCGUUCCUUGGGAUCUCCGUGCCAGCAGCUGAGCAUGAUACGGUACCUGCAAGAAAAUCUCUGUCAGAUUACAUAUUCCUCACUUUAUACAAUUAGCCAGGGCUGAACUACUAAUCAUCAUACUUUAUAAUCUACAGUAAACUUGUGAGCAGGGCCCUUCA